rnacentral:rRNA from 1 species
CCUACGGGUGGCAGCAGUGGGGAAUAUUGGGCAAUGGGCGCAAGCCUGACCCAGCAACGCCGCGUGAAGGAAGAAGGCUUUCGGGUUGUAAACUUCUUUUGUCAGGGAAGAGUAGAAGACGGUACCUGACGAAUAAGCCACGGCUAACGACGUGCCAGCAGCCGCGGUAAUACGUAGGUGGCAAGCGUGGUACGGAUUUACGGGGUGUAAAGGGCGUGUAGCCGGGUUGACAAGUCAGAUGUGAAAUCCUGCGGCUUAACCGCAGAACUGCAUUUGAAACUGUUGCUCUUGAGUACUGGAGAGGCAGGCGGAAGUCCUAGUGUAGCGGUGAAAUGCGUAGAUAUUAGGAGGAACACCAGUGGCGAAGGCGGUCUGCUGGACAGCAACUGACGGUGAGGCGCGAAAGCGUGGGGAGCAAACAGGAGUAGAUACCCGUGUAGUC